rnacentral:tRNA from 1 species
GCCUUGGUGGUGGAAUGGUAGACACGAGGGACUUAAAAUCCCUUGGACCGCAAGGUCUGUACGGGUUCGAGUCCCGUCCGAGGCA